rnacentral:rRNA from 1 species
UACGUAGGGGGCUAGCGUUGUCCGGAAUCAUUGGGCGUAAAGCGCGUGUAGGCGGCCCGGUAAGUCCGCUGUGAAAGUCGGGGGCUCAACCCUCGGAUGCCGGUGGAUACUGUCGGGCUCGAGUACGGAAGAGGCGAGUGGAAUUCCUGGUGUAGCGGUGAAAUGCGCAGAUAUCAGGAGGAACACCAAUUGCGAAGGCAGCUCGCUGGGACGGUACUGACGCUGAGGCGCGAAAGCGUGGGGAGCGAACAGG